rnacentral:snRNA from 1 species
GUGCUCACUUCGGCAGCACAUAUACUAAAAUUGGGAUGAUACAGAGAAGAUUAGUGUGGCCCCUGUAAUAAAAAUAAGAUUUAAAUAAAUAAAUAAAUAAAACACAUUG